CCUACGGGAGGCAGCAGUGAGGAAUAUUGGUCAAUGGACGAGAGUCUGAACCAGCCAAGUAGCGUGAAGGAUGACUGCCCUAUGGGUUGUAAACUUCUUUUAUAUGGGAAUAAAACGUUCCACGUGUGGGAUUUUGUAUGUACCAUAUGAAUAAGUAUCGGCUAACUCCGUGCCAGCAGCCGCGGUAAAACGGAGGAUCCGAGCGUUAUCCGGAUUUAUUGGGUUUAAAGGGAGCGUAGGUGGAUUGUUAAGUCAGUUGUGAAAGUUUGCGGCUCAACCGUAAAAUUGCAGUUGAAACUGGCAGUCUUGAGUACAGUAGAGGUGGGCGGAAUUCGUGGUGUAGCGGUGAAAUGCUUAGAUAUCACGAAGAACUCCGAUUGCGAAGGCAGUUCACUGGACUGCAACUGACACUGAGGCUCGAAAGUGUGGGUAUCAAACAGGAUUAGAUACCCUAGUAGUC
rnacentral:rRNA from 1 species